CGAUGCGUAGGGGUUCUGAGAGGAAGGUCCCCCACACUGGUACUGAGACACGGACCAGACUCCUACGGGAGGCAGCAGUGAGGAAUAUUGGUCAAUGGGCGCGAGCCUGAACCAGCCAAGUCGCGUGAGGGAUGACGGUCCUACGGAUUGUAAACCUCUUUUGCCGGGGAGCAAGCGUGCGUUCGUGAACGCGCGUCGAGAGUACCCGGAGAAAAAGCAUCGGCUAACUCCGUGCCAGCAGCCGCGGUAAUACGGAGGAUGCGAGCGUUAUCCGGAUUUAUUGGGUUUAAAGGGUGCGUAGGCGGGAUGCCAAGUCAGCGGUAAAAAUGCGGUGCUCAACGCCGUCGAGCCGUUGAAACUGGCGUUCUUGAGUGGGCGAGAAGUAUGCGGAAUGCGUGGUGUAGCGGUGAAAUGCAUAGAUAUCACGCAGAACUCCGAUUGCGAAGGCAGCAUACCGGCGCCCUACUGACGCUGAGGCACGAAAGCGUGGGUAUCGAACAGGAUUAGAUACCCUGGUAGUCCACGCAGUAAACGAUGAAUGCUAACUGUCCGGCUCGAAUGAGCGCUGG
rnacentral:rRNA from 1 species